rnacentral:misc_RNA from 1 species
GUGGCCAGUAUAUAUGAAAUAAUGGGACAAAGGUGCUGUCAUAUCUUGCUCAACCUGAUUACUAAUGGGUGGAUUGAGAUCUGUUGAGAAAAGGAAAUGGUGAAAAUCAUCAAGACUGAGACAACUCCUUACACACUUUGUGUUAUGAUGACGCUUCUGCAAAAUCUUAUCCACAAUCAGCUCUGCCUCCGUGACUGAAGCACCACCAUCACCCUGAACUUCCACCACGAACCGCUGCAGCUGUUCUGCCGUCAUGUAGGUCUUGCCUUCUGUAUACUUCAUGAAUGCUUCCUUUACAUCCGAUGGUGGCCCUGUCUCCAUGAUUCUAAAGUUCCCACUAAAGCACUUUCUCAUCUUGCUCUAGAUGCGCAAUGCUUGUGCAAUCUUUUCAGUCCCUAAGAUCAAGAAAUGUAAAUGGUUUCUAAUUAAUUAGGACUAGUUUUGAUGUCAAGUUUUCUGGGGACCUUUGGUAUGCUUUUCUGAGUUCUUUUGUACACUU